rnacentral:rRNA from 1 species
UACAGAGGGGGCAAGCGUUUGUUCGGAAUUACUGGGCGUAAAGGGCGCGUAGGCGGCCUGUUAAGUCGGACGUGAAAUCCCUCGGCUCAACCGGGGAACUGCGUCCGAUACUUGGCGGGCUUGAAUUCGGGAGAGGGAUGUGGAAUUCCAGGUGUAGCGGUGAAAUGCGUAGAUAUCUGGAGGAACACCGGUGGCGAAGGCGGGUCUCUGGGCCGAUACUGACGCUGAGGAGCGAAAGCGUGGGGAGCGAACAGG